GUGGUCACGUUUAUCUUCAAAGAAAUGUAAUGUGAGCAGAUUGGAUGGAAACCCGCUGUGUUUUACUGGAUGCGAGUUUAUGCGUGUGGGUCAGUAGUAGGUUAGGUACAUUUGGUGUUAAUGCAUUGAAGUCAGUGUCAGUGACGGAGGGAGAUUCAGUCACUCUAGACUCUGGUUUUACUGAAAUGAUGGAUGAUGAUGUGAUUCAGUGGAAGUUUGGAUCUGAAAACACUUUAAUAGCUGAAAUCAGUGUACUGGCUGGCACCAUCACUGUAUUUGAUGAUGUUCUUGAUGAGAGAUUCAGAAACAGACUGAAGCUGGAUCAUCAAACUGGAUCUCUGACCAUCACAAACACCAGAACUGAACACACUGGAGUCUAUCAAAUACAGAUUAUCAGAAAUGUUAGCAAAAGUUUUAAUCUGACUGUCUAUGCUCGUCUGUCUGUUCCUGACAUUACCAGAGACUGUUCAUCAUCAUCUUCAUCACAGCAGAAUUGUUCAUUGUUGUGUUCAGUGGUGAAUGUGGGUCAUGUGACUCUCUCCUGGUACAAAGGAAACAGUUUAUUGUCCAGCAUCAGUGUGUCUGAUCUCAGCAUCAGUCUCUCUCUACCUCUGGAGGUGGAAUAUCAGGAGAAAAACAGCUACAGCUGUGUGAUCAACAAUCCCAUCACAAACCAGACCAUACAUCUGGACAUCAGCAAACUCUGUCAACCAUGUUCAGGUACAGCAGCUCUUAUGUGUAUAUUGAUUUGAUUAAAAUGGGUUUAGUUGAUUUAAAUGACUGUAGCUGGUUACAUUGAUAAAAGGCAAGGCAAAUUUGUUGAUAUAGCACAGUUCAUACACAGUGGUAAACCAAAGUGUUUUACAUAAAUUAAAGUGAAAUAUUUAUAAAACCAAAGAAUAACAUUUUGAAAUGAUUAAAAAUGGAUUUAAAAUGAAUUAAAGCAUUUAAUAAUAAUAAUAAUAACCAAAAAUACAAACAAACAAAAAAAAAAACCAUUGCAAUCAUUCGGACGUACUCAGUAAAUGCACAUCUAAACAGAUGUGUUUUGAGUCUAGAUUUAAAUGUGGCCACUGUUUCAGCACAUCUUUAAGACAUGUUCAGCAUUUUAUGCUUAUAAAUAACAUUUCUGAAAAUUGUUGAGCUAUGUCUUUCUUUUUUUUUUUUCAAUUGGCUGAAUUGUAUGUACUGUACAUAUUUAUAUGCAUACUACAGGUGUUUAAGCCUGAAAUGAAGAAAAUGAAGUCCAAUUUGAUUUUUACUGUAAGCCGCAGUAUGUCAGUGUUGUGGACAACACUUCCUGUUUUCCUUAUUUGGUAAUGUUUUCUGUUCUUGUCUUCAGUUCUAUUAGUUCCAUGUGUUUCCCGUUUAAUUAAUUUGUGUUUUUAGCUUUAUCCCACUUGUGUCUGUCUUUGAAUUGUUUCCUCUGUUCUUAGUUCAAUGUCCAUUUUCAUAUGUCCCGUAUCUGUUUGUUUCUCCUUGUGAAUUUAACUAAAAUAUUUUACUUCAGUACUCUCCUGGUUCCUUCUCCAAGCGAAGUGACACAGUAGAGAUUGGAAUAAACUAAAAGCUUUUUCAAAUAAAUAAAGCAGAAAAAUAUUACUGUGUUCACUUCUCAAUAGAUCACCAUAAUGAGUGUCUAUCUGUGUAGUUUUAGACUCAACAUCUGUUAAAGUACUGAUCUCUGUUGCUGCUGCUGCUGGAUCUCUGCUGAUUGUUGCUGCAGUUGUGAUAGUUUGUAUUUGCAGGAAAUGUAGACAAACAGACAAAAAAACUGAGACUCAUGAAGACGAGAUCACUUACAUUGAGCCUACAUUCUACAAAAGAGAAGCACAGAAACCGGAUGUUAAAGAGGAUGAUGACGUGGAAUAUGCACUUAUUGUCAAGAGAAGAUGAUCAGACACGUAUCAGACCCGCUUUGUGUCUUUCACAGGAAGCUCUUGUGACUACCUCAGAGUCUGUCUUUCAUCUCAGCCCUUGAAAACAUGUAGAUUGAGUUUUAGGAUUGUAAGUGUAAUUCAGGGCUGGAUUAAUGAAAUUCUCUCUUAAAGAAAACAAAAUCAUUUUAAUCUUGUGAAACACAAACAUUUUCUUGUUUGACUCUAUAGCCUCCUAAAGAAUUAUAAUUAUUAUUAUUUUAUUAUUAUUAUUUUUAACAAAUUCCCAAAACGAGAAACAUUUUUGCAUCUGAUUUACAUCUGUGUAGAUUUGCAGGAAACAGUUGUGCUUGAACAUUGCUGAAUGUUUGCGGUUGACUUAAACACAGACACUGCUAAGGCGUCAUUGGCGUGUGGUUAAAUGCCUUUUUCCAUUUCCAUUUCAUAUGAAACUCAGUCUAACUUUAGCAUUAACGAACCACUUUACCAUGAAAUCCUGAAUCUAACAGAUACACGAUUCUCUCAGAUAAAAUAGUAUGUGAUAAAAUAUCAGUCAAUUUGAGUGAAGUCUGAUUUGUUACUAUAGCACUUUUUUUCAAUAGCAAUUGUUUCAAAGCAGUUUUACAGAAAGCUAUGAUGUUAAAGUUAAAUAAUAUUUUUCAGAUUUGAGCCAGGAGAUAAUCUAAAUGUUUACAUUGAUGAAGCAGAGUUUUGAUAUAUACUGACCUACACAAGUAAACUGUAUGUAUGUGCUAUUUUCCAAUAUAAAGAGCUUCUAGUCAAAUCAGGCAGUUAUUUCUGAAAACUACUGAUGUUCUUCAUAUCAAGCCCAAAACAGUUCAUAACCUGUUUUUACCAUUAUUAGAAAUAAAUGCAAUGCAUUGUUCACUGCUGUGAUUGUUAUAUCAUGCAGAUGUCUGAUGGUUGUUAUUGACUUAUUUUCAUUUUGGGGAUAAUUAACUAGCUAACUAACAACACCGCUAACAAAAAAUAUGUAUAUUUUUCAGUUGUAUAACAGUGCUUCCAAAAGCAAAAUGCAACAGCAACACAUUUGGCAAAAACAGACACUUUUUUUU